rnacentral:rRNA from 1 species
UGCGAGCAGCCGCGGUAAUACGGAGGGGUCUCGCUUUGUUCGGAAUUACUGGGCGUAAAGCGCGCGUAGGCGGGCUGGUCAGUUGGGGGCGAAAUCCCGAGGCUUAACCUCGGAACUGCCCUCAAUACUACCAGUCUAGAGAUCGAGAGAGGUAAGUGGAAUUCCUAGUGUAGAGGUGAAAUUCGUAGAUAUUAGGAAGAACACCAGUGGCGAAGGCGGCUUACUGGCUCGAUACUGACGCUGAGGCGCGAAAGCGUGGGGAGCAAACAGGAUUAGAUA